UAGGUCGGACCAACUUUUUCGAUUCAACCUAGCAUGUCGAGUCGCGCGCGAUUUGUGUCGACAACUUUUUCGUUCAAUUGCUGUUGACGUUUUGAUUUCUGCGUUCAUUGAAUUUCAAUAUCUGUCAGUGGUGAUGCAAAACAGUGUUUACAAUAUUGGGGCAUCUGUUUCUAUGAACGAACGAGAUGAAAUGCCAUCAAUAUGCAAGUUCUCUUGAUAUACCGUCCGGGAAGAGUGCUGAAUUGGUCAAGGAUGCGUAUAAUAUUGGAGAUUGAGCAAGAAGCACAGAAUCCGCUGGAUGUGUUUUUUCCAAGUUAACAGCAAUUGUUGCUGAAUGUUGUUAUCAGCGAGCCGAAAUAAGUAUGUUAGAUAGCCUAAGAUUGGAUAAUUCUGGUCAGAUUUCCCGGGAAACCGUUAUCAUCCCUGAUUCUCGAUUGUACCAUGUGCGAAGGUGCGGUCUGCGAAUAUGUGACCCUUAGGAGAAUUUUUCAUAUUUAGCGUUAGUGUAUACAUAAAUCAUUCUUUAGAAUAAUUGUUGAAAAUUUUUUUGUUUUCUUUAUAUAAUUCUUUUCGGCUGUAUUCUUAUUUCAAUGAUUUUUUUAUGUUUGUAAAUAUUGUUUGCUGGUUUGUGGUAUUACUCCAACGAAAAAUAAAUAUAUACAUCCAUUUUUUAGAAA